AACGAACGCUGGCGGCGUGGAUAAGACAUGCAAGUCGAACGCUGAUUUUUAGAUAGCAAUAUUUGAGAGUCAGAGUGGCGCAAGGGUGCGUAACACGUGGGCAAUCUACCGCGAAGACUGGAAUAACCUGCUGAAAGGCGGGCUAAUGCCGGAUGUGAUUACCUGGGGGAUUCCUUGGGUACUCAAAGUUGGGGACCGAAAGGCCUGACGCUUUGCGAUGAGCCCGCGGCCUAUCAGCUAGUUGGUGAGGUAACGGCUCACCAAGGCUAAGACGGGUAGCUGGUCUGAGAGGACGACCAGCCACACUGGAACUGAGACACGGUCCAGACACCUACGGGAGGCAG
rnacentral:rRNA from 1 species